rnacentral:lncRNA from 1 species
GAGACAGGAGGGGCGGGGGCCACGCCCUUCCCCGGGAAAGCCGACAAUCCUUGGCGGGGUGGGGAGGGCUGGGCUCGCCUACGGAAAGGGACGCAGAGUGGCAUUGGCGCCCCAGGCCCUCUAGCUCCCCCUCCCGCCUCCCCCACCCCCGCGCCGACGCCCUUCCCGCCAAGCCUUCUUCCUCCCCAGGAGAGGCCCAGGCUAGGGGCUGGUCCUUCUACCCCCACCCUGACCCUGCCGAUAGGUCCUUGCAGGUGAGCACGGAACACUUUAGAAGACACGUCCUCCCAGAGCCCCUGGUGGGAAAAGUGCGCCUGAUGGAAGCCUAACUUUUGGAGGGUAGCAUCCAUGGGCCCUGGGAGAGGAUUACAGAACCGCCUGGUUGGCCGGACUUGGUAUAGAGCCGUCUCCAACUCAGCUCUUCCCGAGUCGCCACCCCCCUGGAACCUGUCUUGUGUGCGAGGGCCUCACUCCUCUCUCGGAGGUGCCCAGAGGACUGUGGGAAGAAGGGCAAAGUCUCUUUCCAGAGGAGCGCGCACAGACCCUCAUCUCCCACGACCACACUUUUGGGGUGAACAGGGUGACUUUGUUAGGUCGAUUCUUCUGCAGAGAUGGUGAAGUACUCUAUCUGCCCACCCACCCACUAAAAGCCAUAGCUCCGUCCGCCUGGCCUCCCCCCAGCUCUAUAGCAAUAGCCCCCUUCCCCCUUCCCUCCUGGGCAUCCAGGGUGUCCAGCUAGGGGCCCCCACCGCACUCUGGUCCCAGGGAUCUUCCAGUGGCCUGCCUGCUUCUCCCGAAGUGACCCCAUCAGCGCCACCCAACUCCCAUCCCUCUUCCAGCAACCACAGAUAAUGACAAUUGUUUGUGAGGUGCUUGGAGAUCCCCUAGAUGAAAGGUUCUGGGUGCUGGGGCAGCUGACUCACUGACUCUCAGCUGAGGUGCUGGAGGUGCCUGGGAAAGGAAAUAAGGCAAGCUGGGGGAGCACCUGUAGCAGAUACAGGGUUCCAGUUUUCACAGAAAUUCCCCUCCUCGCCCUCCUGGAAAUAAUGGAAACCCCUCCACCCGCCUGCACAGAACCCUCUGUGCAGCAGAACGAGACUGGGAGCUGGAGUGCAUGGCCCGCUCUUGGCCACAGGGGCCCAACUCUCCUCAGCCUCAGGGCCCUGGAGAGGCCCCACCCUCCCUGGGUCUGGCUUGAGAGCCCACUUGGCCAAAGGGAAGCCUCGCACCCCCAUGCGCUCCUGGCCCCUGGAAUAUCUUGGUGACUAAGAAGGGAAAGGAUUGCAUUUAUCUCUCCUCUGCUGCACGAAUCCCCAUUGGGAGAGAGAGAGUGUUGAAGAGGACACUCAGGUCCCUAGGCGGAGCUCCUGCCACACCCCAAGUAUGGACAGCUCCAGGACACAGAGCUGCAGGUGGGGACCUCCCCGUGCUCUGGAAAUCAGCCAGGGAGCACUGGGCAGUGCGGUUUGAGGCUCUGUACCCCUGGCCCCCACAGCUCAGCGACAGCACCCUCUAGCUUGGGGGACUAGUCCAGGGCCAAAAUGGGAUAACCCUUCCCCAUAUAAGCAGUAGGAUGGCGUCCCCCCUGGUGGAGAGAGGAAGGAGGCCUAGAGGGUGUGGGGCAGCUUCUCAGCGCGGGGAGCCAGGGGUCUCCAAGCACCUUCUCCCGGACAUGCCAGCCUUGAAUGGGGGAUGUGCAGGGCUUCAAACCCACCUGGCAGGAGCCCUGUGGCAGGGCAGAGGGACCCUGCUCCAAAUUCUCUGUUGGCUGCGCUUUUGUAUCCAAUGCUUUUCAGAGUGUAUUCACUCACCCACAGAAAUAGAGCCCUGUGCUUUAGGGGUGACUGUCAUAUGCCU